CAGCAAUGGAAUUUUUUAUCUCUCCUUUUUUUUCUCAUAAAGCUCUCUUUCUUUUCUUCUUUAUUUCAUUCUUUUUUGUGUCAAUAUUUCUUUUUCUCUUUAUUUUUAUUUUCUUUUGUUUCAUUUUUGUUUUCUUUAUUUUUUUUCCUCUCAUUUUCUUUUGAUCUUAAAUCACCAUACUAGGGAUUAAUGGUGCAAGAACAACCUUUUUAAAGUGAUGUUUAGAACCUAAACACGUUCUAGCUAUAUUUGUACAACUUCCUCCGUUAAUAACUAGAAUAGAUAUAUUUUCUUGCGCUAAGCACAUUGUAAUAGAUAUCAUCUCUUU
rnacentral:lncRNA from 1 species